rnacentral:tRNA from 1 species
AGUGAAGUGCCUGAGCUAAAAGGAUUAUCGUGAUAGGAUAAAUAAUGUAAUACCUAUUACCUUUACUA